UACGUAGGGGGCAAGCGUUGUCCGGAAUUAUUGGGCGUAAAGAGCGCGUAGGCGGUCCGAUAAGUCGGCUGUGAAAGUCCAGGGCUCAACCCUGGAAAGCCGGCCGAUACUGUCGGACUAGAGUCCGGAAGAGGCAAGUGGAAUUCCCGGUGUAGCGGUGAAAUGCGCAGAUAUCGGGAGGAACACCAAUUGCGAAGGCAGCUUGCUGGGACGGUACUGACGCUGAGGCGCGAAAGCGUGGGGAGCAAACAGGG
rnacentral:rRNA from 1 species